GGGUCUUAAGGAGCUUAAAAUGGAACGGUAUGAAUUAUGAUCAGGGAGGAUUCAUAUAGCCGAGGCCCUACUUGCUUAGGAUAGAGGUCCAGUUGUUUUGUAGGAACAAAAUAACCGUUCUCUGUGUAUAAUAGUAAAAUCUUGAACAGUAGUGCAACGGAUGAUGUUAUGUGAGUACAUUCCUUUGGAAAAUCGAUUUAUAGGUUUGAAUGACCAAUUAUCUUCAUCUUUUCCAACCAGGAAGUUAAAGAAAUUUUGGAGCUUCUUAAGUCCACAUGGCGUAAUUUGGGAAUCAUCGAAACCAUCCACUACACUUGCUAUGCUUGGGUAUUAUUUUGACUGGUAUAAAAUGACAAAAAAGGUCGGGAACCGAGAAUACACUGAUAUACAGCGUGAUACGGCGAUAUACACCAGCUGUAUAUUGUGUAUAAAUGCAACAUAAAUGGGCACAAAAAGCCCCCAAAAUUUCAGAAAUUGUAUUUUGUUACUUUGGCCUAAGCCCCUUUUGCCUUUUAUUAUUAUUUGUUAGAUUAGGACAGGUGGAGGUUUGGGCGUAAAGUGAAGCCCACUAAAAAAUCAAACUGCUAUGUUAGUUUAGGACAGGCACGAAAAGAAGAAUUGGGCCACAUAUGCAGAUGCAGCGUGAUACACCAAUUACAUCAGCUGUAUAUUGUGUAUAAAUGCAGCAUAAAUGGGCCCAACAAACCCGCAAAAUUUCAGAAAUUGUAUUUUGUUAUUUCGGGCCUAAGCCCCUUUGUUUUUUUAUUAUUAUUUGUUAGACUAGGACAGGUGGAGGAUUGACCCUAAAGCCCACUAAAAAUCAAAUUGUUAUGUUAGUUUUGGACAGGUAUGACAGGAAGAAUUGGGCCACAUAUACAUGAGUCAAAAGCCCAAAAUGAAAUUAGGCCCAAGUACUGGCCCAGAUGGACAAAACCAGACUCGGGCCCAAUUUCUCUUCUUCAUCUUGUAUUUAUUUUGAUUGUUAUUGCUUGUUUAUUUGUUUGUUUAAUUUUAAGGUUUUUCCUAAACCAAUUCGCCAAAAGAUGACCACUUCUAAUCGAUUACUUAUAUUUUCAUAAAAUUUGAAUAAGUACUAGUUGUCUUCCUUGAAUUACUUUGAGAUAUUUCGCUCAAGCAAUGCCCCCUUCUAGUAUUUAUCUUCCCUUAAAGAAUGAUUUUGAGCUUUAAAAUUGUUAUUUUCUCAAUUUUGAUUAAGUUGCUUAAAAUAAUUAGUAAAAUAGAUAAUUAUCGAAUAAAUGCAUGACAUUUC
rnacentral:lncRNA from 1 species